UACGGAGGAUCCAAGCGUUAUCCGGAUUCACUGGGCUUAAAGGGUGCGUAGGUGGGUUGUUAAGUCAGUGGUGAAAUCCCCGAGCUUAACUUGGGAACUGCCAUUGAUACUAUUAAUCUUGAAUACCGUGGAGGUCGGCGGAAUAUGUCAUGUAGCGGUGAAAUGCUUAGAUAUGACAUAGAACACCAAUUGCGAAGGCAGCUGGCUGGGCGAGUAUUGACACUGAGGCACGAAAGCGUGGGGAUCAAACAGG
rnacentral:rRNA from 1 species